CGUAUUACCGGGGGGAGAAUGUUGCGACGAGAAUAACGUUCCACUACAGGUUUAGCCGAGUGGGAACAAAUCUUUCUUAAGGGCAUUACCAACUAUUGGAAAUGUAGAAAGGAGAAGUAAAAAGUAGGAAAAAGAAGAUCGAUAGAAAGGCAAAAGAAACGACCAGAAAUCACAAGUACGACAAAGAUCCGGCCAAGCCGAUGCCAUUUGAGAAUUAACGUAGAAGUUGGUUAAAAAGUAAUUCGCAUACUGUAAAAUUUUUUAGCUAAUCACCAACUAAACACGGUUGCCCAGAUUUGCUCAAAGAAAUUCAGUGACGCUGACUCUACCUAAUCUCAACACU